AUGUGUUUGUUUUGUCUUUUGAUGUCCAAGGUUUUGCGAGUCUCAUCUUUUCUGCCAAGCUUCACGGAGAGAUAUUACACGCCAAGGCAAGUGUGUGUGUUUGUGCCAAGGCUUUUUUGGAGGCAGAAUGGCACGGACGCAGAAAAGGCAGUAGAGUCUACAACAGGAAUACCGCUCCACGAGCACGGGUUAACAUUACACAGCACUGGUUUUAAAAAUGCGAGAGUCACUGCUAUACGACGAAUGCAAAGCAUGGGAAAACGUGAACUGGGUGGAAUUUUCUCCAUCUGCAGGGGAGGAAAGCUUUGCCUGCCGGAGCGUAGGAGUAUCAGAGAGCAGCGACCUCAUUCUGCCCCGUCUUCAUAGGAUUCCCCACAAAACCACAAGAGGGUGAUCUUUCAAUACACAAAUCCACUGACUUUUCAUCAACUCGGAAAAUGGUCAUUUCAGGAGCUUCCUGUCCCGAAAUGCAUCAAAGCUUUAACAAUUACAGGCUUUCAGGUGCAUGAUCAGUGCCAGGCCUAUUGUGAAUUGAAGCAGCGGGAUGUUCGAUGCCCCUCUCCCACAGCGUGACUAACUAACAGAGACAGUGCCAGAGGAGGCGACUCCGAUGAGGGUUCGAUGCUGCUGAUGCCUCCACUCAUCACUGCCUUUGUUGUUGCCUCACUAUCUUCUCACAACAUACGCUUCUGAUAAGUGCACCCUGGCAAAAUCAGCACCAUCCAAAACAUUUUUACAAGCAAAAAUAUCCUCCUUUAGCCUGACCGGGUGAGAAUUCUUGUGUUUAUUUUAGUGAGAAUCUGUAAUUUUUCUUUUGUCUAAUUCCACCAAUCAUGUCCUCUUGCCUAUAUUUAGACAUGUUAUAUAUAUAUAUAUUUUGUCCUAAUUUACAGUACUGUACAUAUUAUAUAUUUUUUGAGCCCUUCAGGUGUAUUUUUAGCUUGGAAAUAAGAAAAGAAUUUAAUUUGUCUAAUAUUUCACUUUGAGACACUGAAAUUAUGAAAUGUUGCUUUUUUUCCCAGAAAACUGUGCAUCCAAGCAAAAGGAUUUCUAAAAUUAGAAUAGUUAGAAUUUAUUAGAAAGUUACAAAGUCAUUAUCCAAAUACACAAAAGAAGUAUGUGACUACUGGGUUUUAUUUUCUUGUGCCACUGACUUUUGUCAUUUAGAUGUUUAGACUGCAUUCUAUUUAUACAAUUUUUUGUUACAUAAUUUAAAAGCAUAGAACACAUUGAAAAUGUCUGUUAAAUGUGUGUCAGGGUAAGUCAGAGCUCAGGAGCUACAGUUUAAAACAACGUCACCCUCUAAUGGCUAAAGUUUGCAAUUACAUCUACCUAAGAAGCGUCUUACAACCAUGUUAUAAGCAAGGUCACAGGAGAAGUGCCCAAACUACAAAGUUCUAUAUUAUAUAUAAGAUAAUAUAAUAAUAUAAUAUAAUAUAACAUUAUAUAAUAAUAUAAAUAACAUAUACAUCCUAUAAAAAAAUUGUAAAUAAUGAAAAAUAUGUCUCUAGCUCAGUUUGUGUGUGAUGCUUUGGAGAAUAAACUCCUGUUUACACAUUCAAGAUUUCACAUGUAUUACACAGCCUAUGUGGAAAAAAAAUGUAAACAUACACACGCUACCAGUAUAAAGUCCAGUGCAAGGCUUUCCUUGUCUGAUCGUCCUUACUAAACAUUCCUCCCUCAGUGAAGGGCCACAAAGGGGUCACCUGGCUUUCAGUAUAAACCUCAGAGAUUCACCGUGCACUGAAAUUGCUUUUGAGAGAAGACAUACUCGGCUAAGGAGACAUACUAUAUGCUUACUAUCGGCUGCAUGAAAUCCUAAUAUGAAAUGGCUAAACUAAUCUUAUUCUUUUUUUAAUAUAUGUUUAAACAAUGAUGCACCACAUAUAAGAUAAACAAAAAAAAUAAAUGAUUUUUGAGCAUUAAAGUAUUAAAGUGAAUACAAUUUCUAAUUCUCAGCUAACUUUUUUUUCACUCACUUGUUCAGGUGAUUGUCUACACUUCACACAUCAUACACCACCUUGUGUUAUUACCACUCUAGGUAUCUUAGGGUUGAAUUCGAUCUGAUUAGAGUUUGAUUUCACUUUUUGAUCACAACCAUGUGUUAAACUGAAGCCCCUGAGGACCGGCAGUGAAUGUUCUUAUGU